ACGGAAGGCAGCAGUGGGGGAUAUUGCACAAUGGGCGAAAGCCUGAUGCAGCGACGCCGCGUGAGCGAAGAAGUUAUUCGUAAUGUAAAGCUCUAUCAGCAGGGAAGAAAAUGACGGUACCUGACUAAGAAGCUCCGGCUAAGUACGUGCCAGCAGCCGCGGUAAUACGUAUGGAGCAAGCGUUAUCCGGAUUUACUGGGUGUAAAGGGAGCGUAGACGGAAUUGCAAGUCUGAUGUGAAAUUCCGGGGCUUAACCCCGUACCUGCAUUGGAAACUGUAAUUCUGGAGUGCCGGAGAGGUAAGCGGAAUUCCUAGUGUAGCGGUGAAAUGCGUAGAUAUUAGGAGGAACACCAGUGGCGAAGGCGGCUUACUGGACGGUAACUGACGUUGAGGCUCGAAAGCGUGGGGAGCAAACAGGAUUAGAUACCCUGGUA
rnacentral:rRNA from 1 species